rnacentral:tRNA from 1 species
GGGCGUUUGGCACAGUGGUAGCGCGCACGCUUUGCAGUAAUGAUUGCGUGAGGUCCAGGGUUCAAGCCCCUGAACGUCCA